UACAGAGGUCCCGAGCGUUGUUCGGAUUCAUUGGGCGUAAAGGGUGCGUAGGCGGCGGGGUAAGUCUGAUGUGAAAUCCCGGGGCUCAACCCCGGAACUGCAUUGGAUACUGCCUUGCUUGAGUACUGGAGAGGGAACUGGAAUUUACGGUGUAGCAGUGAAAUGCGUAGAGAUCGUAAGGAAGGCCAGUGGCGAAGGCGAGUUCCUGGACAGUUACUGACGCUGAGGCACGAAAGCUAGGGGAGCAAACGGG
rnacentral:rRNA from 1 species